AACGAACGCUGGCGGCAGGCUUAACACAUGCAAGUCGAGCGCCCCGCAAGGGGAGCGGCAGACGGGUGAGUAACGCGUGGGAACAUGCCCUUUGGUUCGGAAUAACUCAGGGAAACUUGAGCUAAUACCGGAUAAGCCCUAACGGGGAAAGAUUUAUCGCCGAAGGAUUGGCCCGCGUCCGAUUAGCUAGUUGGUGUGGUAAUGGCGCACCAAGGCGACGAUCGGUAGCUGGUCUGAGAGGAUGAUCAGCCACACUGGGACUGAGACACGGCCCAGACUCCUACGGGAGGCAGCAGUGGGGAAUAUUGGAUAAUGGGGGCAACCCUGAUCCAGCCAUGCCGCGUGAGUGAUGAAGGCCCUAGGGUUGUAAAGCUCUUUCGGCGGGGACGAUAAUGACGGUACCCGCAGAAGAAGCCCCGGCUAACUUCGUGCCAGCCGCCGCGGUAAGAC
rnacentral:rRNA from 1 species